rnacentral:rRNA from 1 species
GGGGAAUUUUGGACAAUGGGCGCAAGCCUGAUCCAGCAAUGCCGCGUGCAGGAUGAAGGCCUUCGGGUUGUAAACUGCUUUUGUACGGAACGAAAAGCCUCUCUCUAAUACAGGGGGGUGAUGACGGUACCGUAAGAAUAAGCACCGGCUAACUACGUGCCAGCAGCCGCGGUAAUACGUAGGUGGCGAGCGUUGUCCGGAAUUACUGGGCGUAAAGGGCGCGUAGGCGGCUCUUUAAGUUAGAUGUGAAAACCCAGGGCUCAACCCUGGGAGUGCAUUUAAAACUGAAGGGCUCGAGUGCAGGAGAGGUAAGUGGAAUUCCUAGUGUAGCGGUGAAAUGCGUAGAUAUUAGGAGGAACACCAGUGGCGAAGGCGACUUACUGGACUGUAACUGACGCUGAGGCGCGAAAGCGUGGGGAGCAAACA